rfam:Actinotalea ferrariae CF5-4 contig494, whole genome shotgun sequence.
CAGGUGGUCAGGUAGAGAAUACCAAGGCGAUCGAGAGAAUCGUGGUUAAGGAACUCGGCAAAAUGCCCCCGUAACUUCGGGAGAAGGGGGGCCUGAGGCGUGAACCCACUUGCUGGGGAAGCGUUCGAAGGCCGCAGAGACCAGGGAGAAGCGACUGUUUACUAAAAACACAGGUCCGUGCGAAGUCGCAAGACGAUGUAUACGGACUGACGCCUGCCCGGUGCUGGAAGGUUAAGAGGACGGGUCAGCCCUUCGGGGCGAAGCUCAGAAUUUAAGCCCCAGUAAACGGCGGUGGUAACUAUAACCAUCCUAAGGUAGCGAAAUUCCUUGUCGGGUAAGUUCCGACCUGCACGAAUGGCGUAACGACUUCUCCGCUGUCUCAACCGCGAACUCGGCGAAAUUGCACUACGAGUAAAGAUGCUCGUUACGCGCAGCAGGACGGAAAGACCCCGGGACCUUUACUAUAGCUUGGUAUUGGUGUUCGGUACGGCUUGUGUAGGAUAGGUGGGAGACUGUGAAGCCGGCACGCCAGUGUCGGUGGAGUCAACGUUGAAAUACCACUCUGGUCGUUCUGGAUGUCUAACCUCGGUCCGUAAUCCGGAUCAGGGACAGUGCCUGGUGGGUAGUUUAACUGGGGCGGUUGCCUCCUAAAAUGUAACGGAGGCGCUCAAAGGUUCCCUCAGCCUGGUUGGCAAUCAGGUGGCGAGUGCAAGUGCACAAGGGAGCUUGACUGUGAGACUGACAGGUCAAGCAGGGACGAAAGUCGGAACUAGUGAUCCGGCGGUGGCUUGUGGAAGCGCCGUCGCUCAACGGAUAAAAGGUACCCCGGGGAUAACAGGCUGAUCUUGCCCAAGAGUCCAUAUCGACGGCAUGGUUUGGCACCUCGAUGUCGGCUCGUCGCAUCCUGGGGCUGGAGUAGGUCCCAAGGGUUGGGCUGUUCGCCCAUUAAAGCGGUACGCGAGCUGGGUUUAGAACGUCGUGAGACAGUUCGGUCCCUAUCCGCUGCGCGCGCAGGAAACUUGAGAAGGGCUGUCCCUAGUACGAGAGGACCGGGACGGACGAACCUCUGGUGUGCCAGUUGUUCCGCCAGGAGCACGGCUGGUUGGCUACGUUCGGAAGGGAUAACCGCUGAAAGCAUCUAAGCGGGAAGCCUGCUUCAAGAUGAGGUUUCCACGGGGCUUGCCCCGAGAGGCUCCCAGCUAGACCACUGGGUGAAUAGGCCGGAUGUGGAAGAGAGGACUAAAGACUCUCGUAGCUGACCGGUACUAAUAAGCCGAUAACUUGACACA